rnacentral:rRNA from 1 species
GACGAACGCUGGCGGCGUGCUUAACACAUGCAAGUCGAACGGAAAGGCCCUGCUUUUGUGUGGUGCUCGAGUGGCGAACGGGUGAGUAACACGUGAGUAACCUGCCCCUGACUUUGGGAUAACCUCAGGAAACUGCGGCUAAUACCGGAUACGAGCUCCUGCUGCAUGGUGGUGGUUGGAAAGUUUCGGCGGUUGUGGAUGGACUCGCGGCUUAUCAGCUUGUUGGUGGGGUAGUGGCUUACCAAGGCUUCGACGGGUAGCCGGCCUGAGAGGGUGACCGGCCACAAUGGGACUGAGAUACGGACCAGACUCCUACGGGAGGCAGCAGUGGGGAAUAUUGCACAAUGGGCGGAAGCCUGAUGCAGAAACGCCGCGUGCGGGAUGACGGCCUUCGGGUUGUAAACCGCUUUCGCCUGUGACGAAGCGUGAGUGACGGUAAUGGGUAAAGAAGCACCGGCUAACUACGUG